UGAGGGAUGUGACAAAGCAGCAACCUGCUCUGUACUGCUGAGGCCUUGCCUGUUCCCUUGGCAGUGCCCAUGCUCAGGCCCGGUUAGAGAGUCCUGUGGUUUCACAAACACCUUUGUGGUGCAUUUCAUGUGGAGAAAUACAGCACGGAAAAGUGAUUUAUUGGAUAGCGGAGCACCAAGGACCAGGGGGUGCCCUGCAGCCCUCACGGCCAGCAAGUCCCAAAGAGUAGCUACACAAGUGCUGCUCUUGGCAAAGUGUAGUCACCACAUUUGUCUUGACAGACCAAGGACACAAACUUGGAGCUCUCGUGUCACCUCUUGGCCACUGUGACCUGCCAGCAUGGAGUGCUCUGCCUGGAGUGCACGUGAGGGAGUUUGCAGCCUGGCUCGUGGUUUCCCCUGGUGCUGGGGAGUGGAGGCGAGUUGUGCUUCCUGCUGGGAGAGAGAAGGGCCUUGGGAAGCUGCUCCAUGAGCCACAGCUGUGCCGAGCCCGGGAGUCUGUCCAGCAGGAUGUGGAGUGCCACCAUGUCCCCGAGGUCACCCUUUCUGCUGCUGGGAGAGCACAAGGUGGAUGGAGAGGAUCCCCAGGCAUCUGCAGGCACAAAGGACUCGUACAACUGCGAUUUUCCUCCAGCCCUCGUGAGAGGGACUUUGAGGGUACCCUGGGUAAUGUGCCAGCUCUCCUGCUGGACUGUUUGUCUUCUGCUGUAUUUGAACACAAAGAGUAAAACUAAAGUCAGGUGUGUUCUGGAGUAUGUUACACUCGUGCAAAGCUCCUUCCCUCUGUUUAUUUUCUGUUCUGGAAAGCAGAGUCUGGGGUUCCUGGUCACUUCAUGUUAAAUGAUUCCCUGAAAAUAAUUUGGUACUGAAAGGGGAAAAGAGCUGUCUGUGGGAGGUCAGGUGUCCCUGAUAAAAGCUUUAUGCUUUUUCAGUCAAUAAGCUCCUUAUAUAUCUUAGUCUGUAGGAAUGCCUGGCUUGUAAAACUCACCAGCUGAGUCUUAGAGGCUUCUUUGAAGAGCUGAGUUCAGGCAGCAAAAUUGCCCCCCCAGGAGGGACUCUGUGCCUGCUCUCCCGU